UGGGGAAUAUUGGACAAUGGGCGAAAGCCUGAUCCAGCCAUGCCGCGUGUGUGAAGAAGGUCUUCGGAUUGUAAAGCACUUUAAGUUGGAGGAAGGGCAUUAACCUAAUACGUUAGUGUUUUGACGUUACCGACAGAAUAAGCACCGGCUAACUCUGUGCCAGCAGCCGCGGUAAUACAGAGGGUGCAAGCGUUAAUCGGAAUUACUGGGCGUAAAGCGCGCGUAGGUGGUUUGUUAAGUUGGAUGUGAAAUCCCCGGGCUCAACCUGGGAACUGCAUUCAAAACUGACUGACUAGAGUAUGGUAGAGGGUGGUGGAAUUUCCUGUGUAGCGGUGAAAUGCGUAGAUAUAGGAAGGAACACCAGUGGCGAAGGCGACCACCUGGACUAAUACUGACACUGAGGUGCGAAAGCGUGGGGAGCAAACA
rnacentral:rRNA from 1 species